rnacentral:rRNA from 1 species
CUAUACAUGACUCUGCGCAUAUCAAUAAGCGGAGGAAAAGAAACUAACAAGGAUUCCCUUAGUAACGGCGAGUGAAGCGGGAAGAGCUCAAAUUUGAAAUCUUCAAGGUUUUCCCUUGACGAAUUGUAGUUUAUAAGAAGUGUUUUCUGUUAGGAGUUGGCUAAAAGUUCUUUGGAAUAGGACAUCAUAGAGGGUGAGAAUCCCGUAUUUGGUCAUUCUUUCUAGCUUUGUGAUACACUUUCAACGAGUCGGAUUGUUUGGGAAUGCAGUCCAAAAUGGGUGGUAAAUUUCAUCUAAAGCUAAAUAUUGGCGAGAGACCGAUAGCGAACAAGUACCGUGAGGGAAAGAUGAAAAGAACUUUGAAAAGAGAGUUAAACAGUACGUGAAAUUGUCAAAAGGGAAGCGUUUGACACCAGUGUUGUUUUUCCGAAAAUCAAUUACGAAUGUUUUGUUUUUAAGAAGUUAUGACUUCAUCGGCUUGCUUCUUUCUUUAUGAAACUUUCUUAAUGCACUUUUCGGUUAACAAGUCAACAUCAAUUUCUUUUGUUGUAAAAGGGUAUGAGGAAGGUGGCUUUCUUUUCGGAGAAAGUGUUUAUAGCCUUGUGCCUCUGCAAUCGGAGAGAUUGAGGUCUGCAGCGUAGAUCCUUCGGGGUUAGAUACAUUUGUGCUAAGUUAUAGCUUUUCAUAGACAACUUGUUGACUAUGUUAAGUCUUGUAGCUUACUCCGCUUAUGCUAUUUUACCUACGCUUAGGAUGUUGAUAUGCAUGACUGAUAU